CCUCUGUAUACCUUCAUCAUGACUAUAUCCCUCUGUAUACCUUCAUCAUGACUAGAUCCCUCUGACACUGAAGGCCUGAAAACACAACUUGUCUGUAAUGCAUUUUGUGACAUGGAAGUGCCCACUCUGCAGAAUCUUGGUUUAGUGCACAGGCAUAAUAAUGUUGGUUAAGCAAAGUUUGCUCGAUAGAUGCUGCCAGAAGUGAAAUAUGUUUUUAGGAGCUGGUCCAUCAUCAGUACGUCAUACAAAAACGUGUUGGGAGGAAGCGGGAAUGAGAGAAAUCCUGUUGCUGUCGAACGGCCAGGGCCCAGGAACAGUAUACAGGAUACAGACCGAGAUGAUGAGCUGACCAUCACAGACAAGAUAGCGUUGGAUUAAACAACGAUGUUUUUGUAUACAGGAUACAGACCGAGAUGAUGAGCUGACCAUCACAGACAAGAUAGCGUUGGAUUAAACAACGGCCUGUGGUGACCUGACAACGUUGAUGAGGUCAAGCCUGCUCCGGAAGAGAUGUUCUGCUGACCAAGCCUGUGGUGACCUGACAACGUUGAUGAGGUCAAGCCUGCUCCAGAAGAGAUGUUCUGCUGACCAAGUGAGAAGCAAGUUUUCCCUGUUAUGAUUUAAGUCAUUACCCAUAGUGUAGGUCGUACUUUAAGUUGGCUUAUUAGAUGGUGUGAAUCAGCAGAGAGAAACUAACACUGGUGAGAGCUGUGAUUGUAACAUCUUGAGACAUGUUCUAUGACUGCUGAAUAAACAUCGGAUUCAUUCUUUCACCUGUGUAAAUCUACAUGAACAUCUAUUAGCCUAACGGUUAAAAAUAUGUUCAUCUAACAGACCGGCGCUGCAAACAGUCUAGGCUUCCGUCCAGAGCCUAGACUGACUCACCGGAUCUAACAUUCCCACCUCCUCCAGACAUCCAAUUCCUGGGGCUGUUGGGUGUAUCAGUGUUAUUCACUUCACCUGUCAGUGGUCAUAAUGUUAUGGCUGAUGGGUGUAUCAGUGUUAUUCACUUCUCCUGUCAGUGGUCAUAAUGUUAUGGCUGAUGGGUGUAUCAGUGUUAUUCACUUCUCCUGUC
ensembl:lncRNA